GACAGAGGCCUCGAGCGUUAGGCGGAAUCACUGGGCUUAAAGGGCGCGUAGGCGGUCUUGUAAGUCUUGUGUGAAAUCCCUCGGCUUAACUGAGGAACUGCACGGGAUACUGCGGGACUUGAGGUCGGGAGAGGGAAGCGGAAUUCCGCGUGUAGCAGUGAAAUGCGUAGAGAUGCGGAGGAACACCGAUGGCGAAGGCAGCCCCCUGGGCCGACAUUGACGCUCAGGCACGAAAGCGUGGGGAGCAAACAGG
rnacentral:rRNA from 1 species